ACCGUAGACAACCAAUCGAGUCGCAGCUGAAGUUAGAUAAACAAUCACAGCGCUCGCACCGGCUCCUGCGUGGGAAAAAAGCGACUCGACAUUUCUUUUAACACAGACUGUUACAUUUAUUUUAGAUGCGCGAGUUUAAUUUUGCACAUUAUUUAAAUUACAAAGCUGCCUGCUAUUUACGGCGAUCUGUCUUGCGGUAGGAAAUAAUUAUUGGCUUACGCGACCGUUGAAAGAAUAAGGCGGAAUGAAUAGGUGUUCUUUUAGAUGCACGAAGUUUUGCUGUUUUGUUAUUUUGUUGUUGUUACAAGCUAAUUAAAGAACACAUAUUUGCAUUAGCUGGAUAAAUGCUACUUGUUGCUUCAAGUUCGUUAGAAAUAACGUGACGCUAGUUUUGUCGGCAUUAAAUAGUUUUCCUCGUAAUUUAAGCAAAAGAGUUAACUUUACAAAAUACCUCCUUUUUCAGAAUACAAAUUUGGAUCUACGAAUAAAGACGUGCAUCUAAAAGUACACAUAUUCACAAUAAUCUGUCACGCUUCAUCUUUUCGCGGAAACCAAUAAUUAUUUUCUACCGCAACAGGUCACCAUAUGUCCACAGGCAUCUUUGCAAUUUAAGUAAUGCGCAGUAACAGACUCCGGUCUGUGUUAAACGAAAUGUCUAGUCGCUUUUUACCCACGCAGGCGUCGGCGCGAGCGCUGUGAUUGUUUGUCUAAUUUCAGCUGCGACUCGAUUGGUUGUCUGCGGUUCAGUUCUGCCACGCGAUUGGUUGUUUACAAGUAUAUGGUCACCGGUAAAUUUUGGACGAACCGUUCUUCGUUCUUUAUCACUGUAGACAUUUAACUACCGUAUAAAUGGUUAAAACAGUCCCUAAAGUAAACAGUGGAGCCCAGUAGAACUCAAUAAAGCUGUUCUUCUGGGUGUCGUACUUCCGGGAACUGCUACAAAGCACGAUGGGAGAUGUGGUAUUCUAUCGUAAAAAAUAUAAAUAACGUCUGUGUCCUUAUGUAUAACGCAUUACCUUUGGGGUGGAUUUCUGUGCUUUCACGUCCUUCUGAGACGUUGUACUUUGUGAGUUUAAUGAUUUUCAGCACCGUCAGUCAUCAGGGAUCACGUGUGAAAGGGGCUCCCGAGCGCGGGUUCAGCAACUCAUACUUACCUGGCAGGGGAGAUACCAUGAUCAUAUGGAGCCAGAGACCAGGUUUGAGCUGGUUGACCUACGUUGUCUUGGGACGUCAUUCUCCACAGUGAACUCGGAUUCCAGUCAAUGACGACUCUCCAGACACGUUAGAGCCUAACCAGUCACGCCGUACCGACCUCCGUAAUUGACAGAAUUGGCAGCCAAUGAGACUGAGCCAAACGCCGAAGAAGUUGAAAACUACAGAAUGCCAACCGUUCGGUGUGGGGGUGGUUGACCACGCCACUGACCCACAUCUGAAGACAAGGACCUCCAGUUUCAGGCUCUCCUCAUGGCCAGAGGAUGAUGAUGUUGAUGAACUGCCAGCUGCAUCCCAGGCUAUGGAAGAUAGAAUAAAGUCCCAGAAGUCACAUUCCCAGGAUCCCCUGCCCUUAAAGUUGCCUUCAAAGACAUCCAAACAUGCAUUACACCCCCAGGAUGAGAAGCCUCACUCAGCCUCACAGAACCCGUCCACCAUCUGGCCUGAGCAGUUGAAGACUGCUGCCUGGCUGGAUGAGCCACAGUCUACUGUUCGGCCCACACAGGUUCCAUCCACAUCCAAGGGUGAUGUUGUGUGACUUACCUGUAAGUUAUACCUGGAUUUGAAUGCGAGCAGUAUAAAUGAGAAUCCUUUGUUUUAAUAUCAUUCUGUAGACAAGAAUCACCAGACAUGCUCUUGUAUCCACCACUUAUUUUGAGUUAGACGGUUGGGUCCGCCUGUGGAAGAAACCUGGUGCUAUGUUGUUGAUGAAGCCGUGUGUUUGUGUGGCGUCCAGUUGGGGUUUGGAGGUGCUCCCUCCCUAUAUUUUUAUAAUAAAUCACACAAAAGACAACUCUCUCAUCUGCCUCUUUAUGGUAAAUUUCUACCACAUGUUUUAUUACUUUAAUCACUCGUUAUGGCAAUUAAUUGUAAUUGGAUGACUAAUCAUCAAAACUUGCAUAUAUGCCAAUAAAUCAUUUUUUAUUAUAAUCCAAUAACAGAAUCAAGGAUUUGACCUUAAUAGUGACUUAAAGUUCACAUGAAUUUGUGGCUCCAAACCUCAUUUUAGACUGAGCUCGGUCCCAGAUCAGCUUUUGGCAUCCAACAGUUAAUCAGGGGAUGGUUUUCAUAAGAGGUUCCUGCAUAUGUCACAGAAUCUGUAGGUGUAUUGUUUGAAAUGUCUGUGUAGUGGAACCAAAUCUUAAAUGUUGCAAAAUAUUUCACACUCACCCACGGAACAAUGUCCUGUCAAAUACAAGCUUUGUUCUAAACAAGAGAUCAGUCACACUAAUUAAUUACCUAAUCUUUUACAGUGUGUUUUUCUCUUACAGUUGGUGUCUUCUUCUCUUUUGGCUUUUCCCAUCAGGGGUCGGCAUCUUCUACACUCACACCAGCCAACCUCAUGUCCUCUGUCAGCACAUCCAUGUAUCUCCUCCUUUGUCGUUCUUUUGCCCUCAUGAACUCAUACUGGAACAGCUAUUCUUUAAAUGUAAUAUAAUGUUAAAUUGUGCUGCUUAAAGUCCUACUGCCUCCAGUGUAACCAGACAAAUAUGACAUCAUGAGCAUUCAAAUAAAUGUGAAACACACACAUGUUGCUUGUUAGCUGCACUCCAGCAAUUUUUUUAAUUUUCAAUCAGUGCUUAUGACCAAACUACGAGCAGUAGUCUUCUUAUUCACUAAUGUUUAAGCAGCCUGUUAUAUCAUUACACAGUCAAAGGAGGUGCACCAUUUCCAGAAGUACUGCAAUACUGGGUCAGUGCGUGGAGUGUAGAGAUGUCCAACUCGAGACCUCCCACUCGACUCAGCGUCGAUCUUUUGAAGCAGAAGUGUCGGCAAGCAGAAUCUCGAGCGCGUUCCGAAUCACGUGACCAAUGAGAGCGAGAGGUGUCGAUACGUCACGUGACUGCCGAGCGGCUUGUGUGCAGUUUGAACGGACGGUUGUUUUAAUGUGUCAGAGCUUUAUACACGUGGCAAGCGGUCCGCAGAUGAUCUAUAAGAUGAUAGAUGAUCUAUAAGAUAGACAGGUUUCUUACAGACAUCUGUAAUGUAUUUAUGACAAAUUCAAAAUGUAAUUAAAGACUAAAACUACAUUUUGACAAGUUGCAAUUCCAAUACAAAUAUCUUUAUUAGUCAGACAUCAGUGCCGUGCAAACGGCUCUUCUUCAAAGCUGGAGAAGUGGUGAGAAUGUGAUUAAAGUCAUGUUCUGUGGAAAAAUAAAAUGAAAUAAAGGUCUUUGAUUAAACUAACUGACAAACAUGUCUCCUCAAUGUAG